rnacentral:rRNA from 1 species
AGUAGCUUAAAAAUACCUUUAAGUCACCAAAUCCUGUCUGAUCUGGGAAGUUAAGCAGGGUCAACCCUGGUUAGUACCUGAAUGGGAGAUUAUCAGGGAAUAUCAGAAACUGCAACCU